AACAAAUUCUGAAUCUACAUUUUCAGCAAUUAAACAUAAUAGUCAGAUCUAACCCAAAGACAUGUUUCCUAUCACUUAGUCAUGACUUGAGCUUCAUAGUGCAUACAGAUCCAUGAAAAUAACAACAUAAGCAUCCAUCCAUCAUUCAUUUCUGAUUAUUACAUGUAGUUGUUCAAUGCAUUAUCGAAAAAACAUCAAAUUGGUCAUAAUGCAGCCAAUGUUACAACAUGGUAUAAGUUUAUCUUUUGGUAAAUAAGCUUCUCAUCUCUUAGCCACAUGUGAAAGCCGGAGAUCAUCUCGCUAAACCAUUGUUGAGCACCUAUGCCAUCCCAACCUAACUGUUCCACCAACUACAUGUUGAAAUGUAGGUCUUCGACAUCAGAAGUCUGUCUUCAAAGCC
rnacentral:lncRNA from 1 species